rnacentral:rRNA from 1 species
AUUGAACGCUGGCGGCAGGCCUAACACAUGCAAGUCGAGCGGUAGCACAAGAGAGCUUGCUCUCUGGGUGACGAGCGGCGGACGGGUGAGUAAUGUCUGGGAAACUGCCUGAUGGCGGGGGAUAACUAGUGGAAACGGUAGCUAAUACCGCAUAACGUCGCAAGACCAAAGUGGGGGACCUUCGGGCCUCACGCCAUCAGAUGUGCCCAGGUGGGAUUAGCUGGUAGGUGGGGUAACGGCUCACCUAGGCGACGAUCCCUAGCUGGUCUGAGAGGAUGACCAGCCACACUGGAACUGAGACACGGUCCAGACUCCUACGGGAGGCAGCAGUGGGGAAUAUUGCACAAUGGGCGCAAGCCUGAUGCAGCCAUGCCGCGUGUGUGAAGAAGGCCUUCGGGUUGUAAAGCACUUUCAGCGAGGAGGAAGGGUAAUGUGUUAAUAAGACAUUGCAUUGACGUUACUCGCAGAAGAAGCACCGGCUAACUCCGUGC